GAUUCCCCUAGUAACUGCGAGUGAAGCGGGAAAAGCUCAAAUUUAAAAUCUGGCGGUCUUUUGGCUGUCCGAGUUGUAAUCUAGAGAAGUGUUAUCCGCGCUGGACCGUGUACAAGUCUCCUGGAAUGGAGCAUCAUAGAGGGUGAGAAUCCCGUCUUUGACAUGGACUGCCAGGGCUUUUGUGAUGCGCUCUCAAAGAGUCGAGUUGUUUGGGAAUGCAGCUCAAAAUGGGUGGUAAAUUCCAUCUAAAGCUAAAUAUUGGCGAGAGACCGAUAGCGAACAAGUACCGUGAGGGAAAGAUGAAAAGAACUUUGGAAAGAGAGUUAAACAGUACGUGAAAUUGCUGAAAGGGAAACGCUUGAAGUCAGUCGCGUCGUCCAGGGAUCAACCUUGCUUUUGCUUGGUGCACUUUCUGGUUUGACGGGUCAGCAUCAAUUUUGACCAUUGGAAAAAGAUCAAGGGAAUGUGGCAUCUUUGGAUGUGUUUAUAGCCCUUGGUCGCAUACAAUGGUUCGGGAUUGAGGAACUCAGCACGCCGCAAGGCCGGGUGUAACAGCCACGUACGUGCUUAGGAUGUUGACAUA
rnacentral:rRNA from 1 species